CCUGUGGGUUUUUUUUUCUUUUUUUUCUCUCACCUCAUCUCGAAAGAAAACGGGCAGAGUUGAGGAAAAAAGAAAAAAGCCUAACCCAAAUAAAAAAGAGGAAAAAGUGUUAUAUCAAAACGGUUGUCGUGGGGCAUCGUCGCCGCGUUUCUUCCAAAGACGGUCAGAAAGGGUUUCUGUUUACUCAUACCCCACAAACACACUCUUUCUCUCUUCUUAGCAGCGAGGACCUUAGAAAUGCUCCAAAAACCUCUAGAUGAUAUUUCUGGGGAAAUUGGAAGCAUGCAGAAAUUGUGUCCCUGAAGGUGAAGGACAUACUGGUCGGAAUCUUUUAGACUUGUGUAAUUUUGGCCAUUCCUACCGGGUGGUGCUCUAUUGGAGGACAGUUUUGUUUGUCCUUAUUGAAAUGUCAAAUUUGGGGCCAUUGGGCCACUGGCAAAACCAAAUAGGCUUUACAAUUUGCAAGCAAUAGGGGGAAGUAGGCUGUAGCUGGCUAAGCUCCCAGAACCACAACCAAUCACUCAAGCCUUCUGCCCUUUGAUUUGCUUUGCUGCCUGCCUUCUAAAUCUAAUGCCCUCCAAUCAACGGCACCUUUGAUUUCACUCAGCCAACCAGAUUUAUGACACGUGGCUCUUUUGUGGCCACUGCUAGUGACCCCCCAUGUGAUGAUGUGAAGCAAUAUGCAGGCCCAAUCAUCAGAGGAACAAAGCCAGGUCGCAUCAGAUGGAUUGAACAAAUUUCCUUAUCAACGGUGUUUGAUAGAGAAAUUUGAUGUGUAGAAAGUCAUUGGUUUAAUAUUUUUUUUGUGUUAAUUCAAAUUUUCCUCUUUCAUGUCAAAAAUACAUAAUCACUGUAGCAAAUUUAAAUGCUAAAAAAAGAUGCAGACAAAAAUCCUAAUUGAAAUUUGGACAAUACAAUGAUAGAGUUAAAAAAAAAUGGACUAGAGUAGCAAAGUUUUGAAGUAGCAAUCUUUAUAUUGAAGUGUUAGGUAAGUUGGAAA